ensembl:lncRNA
UUAUUCACUGCCAAAUUGAAAUAAUCUUCAGUAUUCCCAAAUGAGACACGCUUGUGCUGAAAAAUUGUUCAUGGCUUAUCUCAAAUUCAAGUUUAACUAGGUGCCCUGUAUUUUAGCUGGCAAGCCUACUUGAGGCCCAUGGUUCCACAUCUUGGGAACGUGGACCCGAGAGAAUGAAGGCGGCAUGUGCAAAGAAGGUGAGAAGAGAGAAAAUGGGACAGUGGAAAGAGAGAGACGGGCAGACAGACACAAGAAAGAGCGACAGAGAAAGGACAAGACAGCAAUAGAGAAUGAGUGAAUGAGAGAGAGACAGGGAGGGAGGGGGAGUCUGCUAGAGACAAAACAAGACAAAGAGAAAGAGCCACAGGUAGACCAACAGACACGCUCGAGAGCAUUCAAGGCCUGCGGUUCAGUGAUCCAAGGUCAGCCCCAUGCAUUCCUUCUGUACUUCGUUUGUUUACAGGCACCAAUAAAUUCCCCCUUCACUUCAACAUAAUAGCCACCCUUUCUUGAGCACUUGUGUGCUCCAGGCACUGGGCCAAGCACUUUGGAUGCACGAUCUCAUUUAUGUUGUUACAUCACAAUGGUUCUAUGAAGGUGUUAGGAAGAACUGAGGAACAGAGAAGUUCAAUAAUGUGCUCAAGGUCACACAGCCUGGAAGCAGCAGAGCUGUGGUUUGAACCCAGGCUGUCAGAUGCCAGAGUGCUGGACCACUAUGUGGAGUCACUGUCAUUCAUAACCAAGGAGGUCCUGAGUGGCACUCCAGUAGAGCAGAUUCAGCAGAAAGACCGGCUCACUGCUGGACUGCUGACCCCAGACCCUUGAGAGGCUGGAUGGCAUCCUAUGUGGGCUUGGGAGUCAGACCAAGCAGGAUCGAAUCCAACUUCUUACCUAUGGUGUGACUUUGGGGAAGUUCUUCACCUUCUCUGAGCCUCAGCUUCCUCUUCUGUAAAAUGGAGUUGAUAAUAAUAGUAGCUACAUCAUAGGGUUGAUAUGGGAACUUAAUUAAUUAAUGUGUAUGCACACACGCACGCAAAAAGCAGUUAGAUCGGGUAAGCAUUUAAGAAAUAUUUACAGAUAUUUUUAUUGUAUUCUGCUCAUCUCUGAUGCCCAGCAAGGCAUCAGAUUUGGCACAAAGGAAGUGCCCAUGGUACCUGGGUGGGUGAUGAUAAGACUGGACAAUAUUAACGAGAAUCCCAAUGACCAUUUAUCAACACCUACUGUGGACCAGGCAUUGUGCUGAGCACCUUGCACAUGGCUUCUCAGUCAACCCCCACAGCAACCCUGCCACGAUGGUAUUGCUAUCCCCCAUUUACAGACGAGAAAACAGGCUCCAAGAAGUCACGGGACAGAAAGGCUGCAGAGAGGGGGUCAGAGCUGGGAUCUCGAUCCCAGUUCAUGAAGAGAGGACACAGAUCUGUGUGUGUUUGCGUUAAUGACAAUGGGAAGCAGACGCAUUGCGCUGAGAUGUUUUCCUGUGCACUGAGUUUUGAGUGCUUCCCAUUCUCUUCACAAGUUCCUUCACGUCCCUCGCAGAUGGCCCAUGAGCACGCCUCUCCGUGCACUGUUAUCUCACAAGAGGGGCGGAGACCCACUUUAUGAAGGAGGCACAGAGAGGUUCAGGACUUCCCGAGGGCCACACUGGUGUCAGGAAUAGAGUAAGUUCUGAACCCAGCUUCAUGAGACUCCCAGUCCAGUCUCUGUCCCCUGUCCCCAAACUCUGACCCACAGAGAACCCCACAGAGCAUGACAUCCUUCAGAUCUCCCAAAGACACCCACUCUUCACCAUCCCCACUAACAGUGAACACACCCGUUGGGGCUCCGUGAGCACUCACCUGUCAUCUUGCAACAGCCUCCGACUGCAUCUGCUGUCUCCGGGUCCUCUCGCCUUCCCUAGGUUCUUCACAAGGCCCCCACCAGGUCAGCUUUCAGAAACACAGAUCUGAACCCAGGGCUCUUGACCAUGGCUUCAUGGUCUGGCCCCUGUUCAUCCCUCUGCCUCCUGGACUCUGCACGCUGACUGAUAAACCUUCCACAUGGCUCUCUCUGGCCUCCUUUGCACUUGCUCUUUCAUCUGGGUGGUACCACCUUCCUCACUCCUCCUUCAUCCCUGCUAAGUCAUCCAUUAAGUGUCAGUGACAUGUCACUUCCUCACGGAAGCCUUCCUUGCUUGGUUCAGGUGCUCUUCUUGGAUGUACCUCUGCUCAGAUCCUUCUCCCUCUCUGUUGAAAUCACCUUUUUACUCUCCCACUGAGUCAGCUCCACGAGGGCAGGGCCUGUGGCUGCCUGUUCACACUGCAUCCCCAGGGCCUGGCACAGUGUCUGGUACCUGGUAGGUGCUCAGUGAAAGGCUGGUGGAGGAAUGAGGGUUCCCUGAGGACAUUAUGCUUUAUUAAACUAAGCACCAGGCUCCGUUUGCUGGCACACAGUAGGCUCCCAUUACAUUGUCUGUUGAAGGGAUGAUGGAUGAAUAAAUGAAUACACAAACGCCAUGGCUCAACGCCUCCCCCCUCUGAUUUGUCCACCUCUCAGCUGCAGCAGUCUCUUGCAGAGUAAAAGGGAUCCCAGCUCCUUGUUUGAAUGCUGUGGGGUUUCGAGUAGAAAAAGAAAUACUGCUCCUUCAACGAGAAGAGUUUCAGGUGAUAGAGGCCCUUCUUGCUGGUGAAGACUGGAGGGAGAGCGGGGGCCUCAGCUCAGCUUCGGGGUGGCCUCAAUUGGCCCGGACUGACUAAUAAAGUGUGAAAUUGACUUUAUCCUCCACCAUGUCUCCCAGCCAGAGUGUCCCUGUAGCAUCUCCCUCUGCCACAACUGAUGCAGCACUGCGGCCGUCCCCUCUGUCGCUGGUAGACAGGCAGAUCAUCAACGCCCACGCAGCCCCAGCUGGCGCUCUGCAGAGCCCAUGAAGCUGUUUGGCCUCGGGCCAGGAUGGGCCUACAAAGCCAGAAGCAUCUGAUGUGGCAUGUCUGACGCACCUCCUAAGCCAGCCGCUGGCUGCUCCUGUCCCUGUUUACUCCUCUGGCACUGGCUUCUAAGGCAGGGGCGGGAGCUGGAGGGAGAGACAGCGUUAGAUUUCCCAGGAAGAAAAGGAUUCCAUGACUCUAAGAAGUCCUAAAACCAAUGAUCUAUCCAGCAGUCAUUCUCAAAGCUGCCUGUGCAUCGGGAUCAACUGGGUGACUUGUCCUCUCCCAUAGCCAGUAAGGCUGAAGAAGUCCUGAAGAAGUGCUGGACUUGCCCUUCAACAUCCAGAGGUGCCCUUCCAGGCUCUACUUCCCUCGUCCUCUGCUGGGCUGCCACCAGUUCACCGGGUUGCUGGGAGGACUGAUAACAGCAUGUGUGGUGGUUGACAUGUGCUGUUGUCUGCCCAUCACCCAUUUCCCCUGCAUCUAAUUACAGAAUGCCCCUUGUCCCUUAGGCACCCACCCUUUCCCACUCUCAAGUCAUGUGGUAUAAGCAACACUAACCCUCAUGGUACCCCCAAUUCUAAUGGGGUCUCUUCCCCUGCAUCCUGGGGUGUGUGACUUGGGCCUGUUCAAUCUCUGUGUUCCAUGCCUCUUGCCACAAGACUUGAUUUGAGAUGGACAACAAACCCAGUCUAUUCUAUAAGAGUCAAUUCCUGGACCUUGGGCUCAAACUCUUGGGGGAGAGAAAUUCUGUUUCUAGUAGGGUUGUCGAGCUGCAAGAUUUGAGUCUGGAGCUUUCAACAACCAUUUUGCAGCUUCCUAGGGGAAAGCUAGUCUGAGAAUGAAGUUAGCACAGAGCCAAGGGACCAAGACACAGAGACCCUAAGCUGCUGGAUCCAACUGGGCCUGAUGCCAGACAACCCUGUACAUCUCAGUCACAUGAACCAAUAAAUUUUCCUUUCUUGGUCAACCUGAUCUGAGUUGACAUUCUGCUCCUUGCAAUAAAAAAAAAAAUAACUAAUAUAGCAUGAGUUUUUGAAAAAGCUGAACUAUGUUCU